ensembl:lncRNA
UAUGUUUGUUUCACUUUGUUUGUUCUUGAAGAUCUGCAGGAUCUGCAAGUUCUGGCUCCAACUAAAAAUAGAAUAGAUUGAGACAUUCCGCUAUCGUGAAGGUUUGCUCAUCUCUGAGGUAUUGGGAGUACAUUAUAGACAUCAUUAAAUUUAUAGCUCUUGUGGUUAGGAUAAAGAAAAAAGUGGUCAUACUGCUGGCAAGUUUAUAUCAACACCUGAGCAUAUAAAAGAUUAAAAGCUUUGGAGGCAAGUCUGCCAAGAGCCUGAGUUCCACUGCCUUCCUUGUGGCUGAGGGUAGUUAUGCAGCAAAAUUUAUUCGCAUCUGUAAAUUUGAU